rnacentral:rRNA from 1 species
AUCUGCGAUAAGCGCCGGUAAGGUGAUAUGAACCGUUAUAACCGGCGAUACCCGAAUGGGGAAACCCAGUGUGACUCGUCACACUAUCAUUAACUGAAUCCAUAGGUUAAUGAGGCGAACCGGGGGAACUGAAACAUCUAAGUACCCCGAGGAAAAGAAAUCAACCGAGAUUCCCCCAGUAGCGGCGAGCGAACGGGGAGGAGCCCAGAGCCUGAAUCAGCAUGUGUGUUAGUGGAAGCGUCUGGAAAGGCGCGCGAUACAGGGUGACAGCCCCGUACACAAAAGCGCAUGUGCUGUGAGCUCGAUGAGUAGGGCGGGACACGUGGUAUCCUGUCUGAAUAUGGGGGGACCAUCCUCCAAGGCUAAAUACUCCUGACUGACCGAUAGUGAACCAGUACCGUGAGGGAAAGGCGAAAAGAACCCCGGCGAGGGGAGUGAAAAAGAACCUGAAACCGUGUACGUACAAGCAGUGGGAGCACCCUUUGGGUGUGACUGCGUACCUUUUGUAUAAUGGGUCAGCGACUUAUAUUCUGUAGCAAGGUUAACCGAAUAGGGGAGCCGGAGGGAAACCGAGUCUUAAUUGGGCGUUAAGUUGCAGGGUAUAGACCCGAAACCCGGUGAUCUAGCCAUGGGCAGGUUGAAGGUUGGGUAACACUAACUGGAGGACCGAACCGACUAAUGUUGAAAAAUUAGCGGAUGACCUGUGGCUGGGGGUGAAAGGCCAAUCAAACCGGGAGAUAGCUGGUUCUCCCCGAAAGCUAUUUAGGUAGCGCCUCGUGAAUUCAUCUCCGGGGGUAGAGCACUGUUUCGGCUAGGGGGCCAUCCCGGCUUACCAACCCGAUGCAAACUGCGAAUACCGGAGAAUGUUAUCACGGGAGACACACGGCGGGUGCUAACGUCCGUCGUGAAGAGGGAAACAACCCAGACCGCCAGCUAAGGUCCCAAAGUCAUGGUUAAGUGGGAAACGAUGUGGGAAGGCCCAGACAGCCAGGAUGUUGGCUUAGAAGCAGCCAUCAUUUAAAGAAAGCGUAAUAGCUCACUGGUCGAGUCGGCCUGCGCGGAAGAUGUAACGGGGCUAAACCAUGCACCGAAGCUGCGGCAGCGACACUGUGUGUUGUUGGGUA